AAGUGAGCAGAUUUGAAGAAACACGUGCAAUGCAUGUGCAACUUAAGAAGUAUUUGCAAGGUAUGUGCACAACUCAUGGGCAGCCUUGGGGGGAUAUGUUAUACAUGUUAUUUGGGCCUUAAUGAUGUAUUUUGUAAACCCAUUUGUUUGAGUUAAGCUUAUACUAUCUUCUUUACUUUAAUACUACUAUUUUAAUUAUUUAGAUCUAGUAUUUGGGCCUCAGUGUGCUACUCCCUUUGCUAUGGGCUUUUAAUUCGGCCAGCCUUAUUUGGCACUUUAGGG
rnacentral:lncRNA from 1 species